AGGGCCGUGAUGGUUUGCCAGGAAGGGAUGGGUCCAGAGGCCCUGAAGGACGCCCGGGUCCACCAGGCCCACAUUCCCCAUUUGACCCUUCAGUGGUUGUGAAAGGGGAAAAGGGUGAAAGAGGUUUCCCUGGUAUUGAUGGAAGUCCAGGGUUGCCAGGUAGACCAGGUGCCCCUGGAAAUGCAGGUGUCCCAGGUUCACAGGGUCUGCCUGGUGCCAGAGGAAACCCGGGUGAACCAGGAGGAGCAGGCUCACCAGGGCCAAAAGGAGAUAAAGGUGAAAGGGGUGAACCAGGUUCAGCUGUACCUGAAGGGGGUCUUCCAGGGAGGAAAGGAGAACCAGGGAUCCCAGGAAUACCGGGUACUCCAGGUAGACCAGGCAGUGAUGGAGCCAAAGGAGCUCUUGGAGCUGCAGGGACACCAGGUCAGGAUGGGCGUCCAGGGAUACCAGGAACACCAGGACUUCCCAUCAAGGGAGAUAAGGGCAGCCCAGGAGAGAGGGGACCUCCAGGAGUAGGCAGCGGGGUGGCCAUAAAGGGCGAGAAGGGCUCCCCAGGAGUUCCAGGAUCUCCCGGGGCUCUGGGUCCUAGAGGGCCAGCAGGAACACAGGGCAGCAAAGGAGACAAGGU
ensembl:lncRNA